rnacentral:misc_RNA from 1 species
UUGAAUGAACUUGGUGUGGUUGUAGCUGGCCCUCUCGUCGGGGGCAUGUGCACACCCGCCAUCUUUAUCUCUCCACCUGUGCACAUCUUGUAGACCUGGAUAGACUUUCCGAGGCAACUCGGUCGGGAGGACUGCUGUGCGUCACUGCCGGCUUUCCUUGCAUAUCUAGGCCUAUGUUUUCAUAUACCCCAUAGUAUGUAACAGAAUGUAUCAUUGGGCCUCGUGCCUAUAAACUAUAUA